GCAAGUAUGAGAAUGCAUGAUAAUGCAAAUGACGUGCAUGCCAAUGCAAGUAUGAAAAUGCAUGACAAUGCAAAUGACGUGCAUGACAAUGUAAGUAUGGAAAUGCAUGACAACGCAUGUAACAUAAUAAGAUGUAUGAUGAUGGAAAUGAGAUAUGCGAAACAACGCGGAUGAAGGGGGCGCAAGACAAUGCGACCUAAGGGAACGCAUAAGAGAUGUGCAUAACAAUGCAAGCAUGGCGUUCGCUACAACGCAUAUAGUACGUGCAUAACAAUGCAAGAGGUGUGUGCUACAACACAUAUAGUACGUGCAUAACAAAGCAAGAGGUGUGCGCUACAACGCAUAUAGUACGUGCAUAGCAAUGCAAGAGGGAAUUGAUGUAUAACCAAUGCGCGCUCAUUAUAAACACGACAAAACGUUGUAAUGCAACGUAUUUAAAGCAAUUUCUGAAUCUCGCAUGAGACAAAAGGAUACAAAAAAAGGAUACACCUCAUACGUAUCAAGUGCCGCACUCGGAAGGCACGAUUUGAGGUCAACACGAAGGCCGGUUGAGCUUCAAAAGUCUACUUUCUUGCACUGUCUUGAGAAAUGAAGGUCCCAAACAACGUAACUGACCCAACCAAGGGUGUGGGAGGUGCAUCGACCACAAGGGGAGUCCAUCGGCCACCCAUCGGCCACAAAAUGAGCUCAUUGGCCAAACAUUUAGCCGCUCAGCUAACAAUUUGGCCGAUCGGCCAAAAAUGGCAGUUUCGGGGGCAGUUUUGUCUUUUAGCCACAGGUCUUUAAAUAUAAGGUUCCAAACCUUAUAUCCUCACUUCUACAAGCUCGAAAAUCCUCCCUCUUUCUCUCUAGGUGAUUUUUUUUGCUUCAAUCCAUGUUUUUCUCUUGUUUUCGAGCCUUUUUCGUCGUUCGAUUUGCGAAGCCCUUCUCAUUUUGCACACUUUGAAUGGAUCGAAAUUUAUUUUCGGUGUCCCUUUCUUGGUUUCCACUAUUUGGGGUUUGUUUCCCUCGAGUUAUACCUCGAUCUUCGUGCCUUUUCCACACUCUGACUUUUUCUCCCAUUUUUCACCCCUCGGGGUUGACUUUUGGGUUGACUUUUUGUAUUCUCACCCAUUUUUCACACUUUCAGCCAUUUUUGCACUCUUCUUGAGAUGGCAGACGACAUUCCACAGGGUGGGGCUCCCCCAGAGAUGGACGUGGACCCUGAGAUCGAGCUCUUACCUCUUUGCAUUCGACCAUUCGAUCCGGCGACCUACAGGCCAGUGAUUCACGUGUUGCCUCCCGACGACAUUCGCCACUUCAGGGGCUAUGCGAGGGGCGCGCCACUGGAGCUUUUGUUGCGUGAGCCAGAGUCACAUCUGUCCUAUGAUCUGAUCCCUUUUGACACCGAUAUGGACGACUGGGAUGCCGCACAGAUUUACUUGCAUGGCGCUCAGCCCCCUCUCUCCCGUAUAGGAUUUGUGAGGUACUCUUGGUUUGAGGACCACUUCAGGAUCCAGACGCCCACGACUUUGGAGGAGGUGGAGCAGUAUGCUCGCGGCUUCAUCAUGUUCCUGCUGGGGACCACACUCUUCGACGAUCGAGCGAACACUAUCGCCCUCUACUUGCUGAGCGCACUGGUGGACGUGACCCGGAUCCAACGCUAUGAUUGGGGUGGCGCAGGCUUGGCCACUCUCGAUGGAUAUAUGAGCCCAUCUUCCCGCCGCAGUGGACAGUUACUUGGGGGCUACUGGCGAGCCUGGGAGUUGUGGGUGUAUGCCUACUUUCCUAGGCUUGCCCCAGUGCCGGAUGAGGAGAUGCCCCCUAUGGUUCCCUUUUCUCACCGAUUCGACGUCAGGUGCGAGCGGAGGCCACGAGAGUCCUUCUUGUUCUUCCGCCGAUACUUUGACACCAUCAUUGCUGCAGAGAUCACUUGGUAGCCCGAGGCGAUGUUGCCCGAUAGAGUGAGAGAGGGUACGGAGGUGCUCGGGAGACUGCCUAUUUCAAGAUUCUGCUAGAGGGCCCGGUCUGUCAGGCAUGGUAUUUCGGGGAGCGCUUCUUGCGGCAGACCUUGGGCUUGCCAGAGCAGACAGUUCCAGUACCUCCUCCUACCCACACGAGGCACACCGAGAGGUAUACCUUAGAGGAGAUGAUAGACUACACGCUGGGUUGGGACUCUGAGCCCUUUAGAGACGAGAGCGACUACAACGAGUUUAUCCAGGCCUAUCUGAGGCGGCUUUUGACCGAUGCUCGCUGAGCCGAGAGAGAGAGAGGCCUGCGGCACCAGUGGUAGGAGCAGAAGCAUCGAGGGCGACUCAGGCCCGUGGGAGGAGUGGGUCUCGGAGAGGACAGGAAGCUAUAUGGCCAGAGUUGCCUACGACGAUGACAUGCCGAGGACAGGGUGGGGAGAUGUACCAGAUACCCAUCGCUCCUCCUCCGGCUGAUCAUGAACUUAUCGGAGUCUACGGCUCGACCCAGCCUCCAUCGAGUACACUCAGCAGUCUCUGGAGCUGACUGCUUCCGUGAUGGGGAUGCUGCAGCGGAGCAUCGACUUAUUGACCAUCUACGGCAUCCCAGUGAGCCGGCAUAUGACCAGGGCCAGAGUUGACAGCCUUCUGUACUGUUUCAUCAGCCAACCUUUGUGCCUCUCGAGGAGGCCCCAUUCCAAAUUCUGGCCGCGGGAGGUGCUCCAGCUAGACCAUCCGUACCUACCCGAGGAGGAGGGGGAGUCAGGCGGAGGAUGACUAUUCACACCCGAGGCAGACACAGGCGCACCCGUGCUGAGAGCAGUUCACGAGAGCCUUCCCCCGAUGAUUCUGAUGAGGAGGCUGAGGCGUCCCAGGGUGAGGUCGGAGACAGCUCAGACUCUGACUACGGAGCUGGUGGUGGUGAUCCUGGACCCUCGUCCAGGAAGAGGACCAGGACGGAUUCCUGUGCUCGAGACAAUUGAUAUUGAUCCAGACUUUGCUGCUUUUAUUCUUUUUGCUUUGAUCAGACAUUUUGUUGCUUUUCCUUUUUUGUUUUACUUUUCUUUUUAUUGGUAGUUUGAGCACAUUGUAUUGCCUCAGGCAGGUUUUAC